GAUGAACGCUAGCUACAGGCUUAACACAUGCAAGUCGAGGGGCAGCGCAGUGUAGCAAUACAUGGGCGGCGACCGGCGCACGGGUGCGUAACGCGUAUCCAACCUUCCCGAUACUCAGGGAUAGCCUUCCGAAAGGGAGAUUAAUACCUGAUGGUGAUUCAAUUCCGCAUGUUAAUGAAACUAAAGAUUUAUCGGUAUCGGAUGGGGAUGCGUGACAUUAGAUAGUAGGCGGGGUAACGGCCCACCUAGUCUACGAUGUCUAGGGGUUCUGAGAGGAAGGUCCCCCACACUGGAACUGAGACACGGUCCAGACUCCUACGGGAGGCAGCAGUGAGGAAUAUUGGUCAAUGGUCGGAAGACUGAACCAGCCAAGUAGCGUGAAGGAUGAAGGUUCUAUGGAUUGUAAACUUCUUUUAUACGGGAAUAAAACCACCUACGUGUAGGUGCUUGUAUGUACCGUAUGAAUAAGCAUCGGCUAACUCCGUGCCAGCCGCCGCCGUAAUAC
rnacentral:rRNA from 1 species